GAACAUGUAAGAUACAAGACAGAAGAAAGAUAACAUCUUUAUAAAUAUCAUAUCCGCUUGAUUCAAAUCAGAUUCUCACUACAAAUUAACCAAAACCCAAAAAUUUGAGAUUGAAUUGAGCAAAGAGGAACUUUCAAUUUAGGUGGAAUCAGUUUUCUUCUCCUUCCCUUGGUCGACGCGACGGGUCCCAACAGGAGGCGGCUUCUUCUCCGACACAGUUUUAGCGACAAGGACGGUCAAAGCGGAAGGGAGAGGGAGAUAGUCGAGGAAGAUGCUUGUCGGCUGGUGAUAUUCAUGGCGAUCCUCAGAUGAUCACUGUUUUCCUUCUUCUCUGCCGUUACCAGCAACGAUUUCUCGGCGGGGAAGCGAAGGAAGAAGUCAGUUGAGUAGGUGACGAGGUGAAGAGCCUCGGAGUUAAAUCCUAGAUCGUCGGGUUAAAUUCUAAAUCGAU
rnacentral:lncRNA from 1 species